GGCUCAGGAUGAACGCUGGCGGCGUGCUUAACACAUGCAAGUCGAACGGUGAACACGGAGCUUGCUCUGUGGGAUCAGUGGCGAACGGGUGAGUAACACGUGAGCAACCUGCCCCUGACUCUGGGAUAAGCGCUGGAAACGGCGUCUAAUACUGGAUAUGUGACGUGACCGCAUGGUCUGCGUCUGGAAAGAAUUUCGGUUGGGGAUGGGCUCGCGGCCUAUCAGCUUGUUGGUGAGGUAAUGGCUCACCAAGGCGUCGACGGGUAGCCGGCCUGAGAGGGUGACCGGCCACACUGGGACUGAGACACGGCCCAGACUCCUACGGGAGGCAGCAGUGGGGAAUAUUGCACAAUGGGCGCAAGCCUGAUGCAGCAACGCCGCGUGAGGGACGACGGCCUUCGGGUUGUAAACCUCUUUUAGCAGGGAAGAAGCGAAAGUGACGGUACCUGCAGAAAAAGCGCCGGCUAACUACGUGCCAGCAGCCGCGGUAAUACGUAGGGCGCAAGCGUUAUCCGGAAUUAUUGGGCGUAAAGAGCUCGUAGGCGGUUUGUCGCGUCUGCUGUGAAAUCCGGAGGCUCAACCUCCGGCCUGCAGUGGGUACGGGCAGACUAGAGUGCGGUAGGGGAGAUUGGAAUUCCUGGUGUAGCGGUGGAAUGCGCAGAUAUCAGGAGGAACACCGAUGGCGAAGGCAGAUCUCU
rnacentral:rRNA from 1 species